rnacentral:rRNA from 1 species
CCUACGGGUGGCAGCAGUGGGGAAUAUUGGUCAAUGGGCGCGAGCCUGAUGCAGCCAAGUAGCGUGAGGGAUGACUGCCCUACGGGUUUUAAACUUCUUUUAUAAAGGAAUAAAGUGAGGCACGUGUGCCUUUUUGUAUGUACUUUAUGAAUAAGGAUCGGCUAACUCCGUGCCAGCAGCCGCGGUAAUACGGAGGAUCCGGGCGUUAUCCGGAUUUAUUGGGUUUAAAGGGAGCGUAGAUGGGUUGUUAAGUCAGUUGUGAAAGUUUGGGGCUAAACCGUAAAAUUGCAAUGGAUACUGGCAGGCGUGAGUACAGGUGAGGUAGGCGGAAUUAGUGGUGUAGCGGUGAAAUGCUUAGAUAUCACGAAGAACUCCGAUUGCGAAGGCAGCUUACUAAACUGCCACUGACAUUGAUGCUCGAAAGUGUGGGUAUCAAACAGGAUUAGAUACCCGAGUAGUC